AGCGAACGCUGGCGGCAGGCUUAACACAUGCAAGUCGAACGGGCGUAGCAAUACGUCAGUGGCAGACGGGUGAGUAACGCGUGGGAACGUGCCCUUUGGUUCGGAAUAGCCCUGGGAAACUGGGAGUAAUACCGGAUGAGCCCUUCGGGGGAAAGAUUUAUCGCCAAAGGAUCGGCCCGCGUUGGAUUAGGUAGUUGGUGGGGUAAUGGCCUACCAAGCCGACGAUCCAUAGCUGGUUUGAGAGGAUGAUCAGCCACACUGGGACUGAGACACGGCCCAGACUCCUACGGGAGGCUG
rnacentral:rRNA from 1 species